rnacentral:rRNA from 1 species
CAGCCGCCGCGGUAAUACAGAGGGUGCGAGCGUUAAUCGGAUUUACUGGGCGUAAAGCGUGCGUAGGCGGCUUCUUAAGUCGGAUGUGAAAUCCCUGAGCUUAACUUAGGAAUUGCAUUCGAUACUGGGAAGCUAGAGUAUGGGAGAGGAUGGUAGAAUUCCAGGUGUAGCGGUGAAAUGCGUAGAGAUCUGGAGGAAUACCGAUGGCGAAGGCAGCCAUCUGGCCUAAUACUGACGCUGAGGUACGAAAGCAUGGGGAGCAAACAGGAUUAGAUACCCCGGUAGUCCAUGUCUCUUAUAC